AUCCAUCUUGCCGAUUUAUCGCAAAUAUACAUAAACAUAUAUAUGCGCAGAGUUUAAAGUCUUAAAUUUCGUUCACAAAUGAGCUUGCUUUCUUAAGUUUUGAACAGUAAAUUAUUGACAAUGUAUCCAGGUCAAAUUAAUUUUGUGAAAUAGCUGAAAAAGAAGUUUUAUAAUUCUACUUUUGAGCGAUUGAAUACAGUUUAAUGUAAAGGCCUGAUUGAAACCCAAUCCAACGCCGAAUCUGAGGCGUAAUCUGAAGCUUAGUCUGCGGCUAACCUCAAGGUGGUAAUAAAAUUGUCAUUGGAAUUUUUUGAUCAACAAAUAAUACACCGGAAUGUUGUUAUAAAAUAGACGAAUUUAAUACAUUUUGGUUGAUUUGAGAAGUGUAAUACGAAACAA